rnacentral:rRNA from 1 species
CAAGUCGAGCGGGAUUUCUUUCUGUAGCAAUACAGGAAAAAAUCUAGCGGCGAACGGGUGCGUAACACGUGGGCAAUCUGUCUUAAAGUGGGGGAUAGCUCGGCGAAAGCCGAAUUAAUACCGCAUGUGAUCAGAGGCGACAUCGCUUCGAAAUCAAAGGUGGCGCAAGCUACCGCUUUUUGAGGGGCCCGCGGCCUAUCAGCUUGUUGGUGAGGUAACGGCUCACCAAGGCUAUGACGGGUAGCUGGUCUGAGAGGACGACCAGUCACACUGGGACUGAGACACGGCCCAGACACCUACGGGUGGCAGCAGUCGAGAAUUUUUGACAAUGGGGGAAACCCUGAUCGAGCGACGCCGCGUGGAGGAUGAAGGUCUUCGGGUUGUAAACUCCUGUCAUUUGGGAACAAGGCGUAUGUAUUAACUGUACGUGCGUUGAUAGUACCAGAAGAGGAAGGGACGGCUAACUCUGUGCCAGCAGCCGCGGUAAUACAGAGGUCUCAAGCGUUGUUCGGAUUCAUUGGGCGUAAAGGGUGUGUAGGUGGCGCCGUAAGUCGGGUGUGAAAUUUCGGAGCUUAACUCCGAAACUGCAUUCGAUACUGCGGUGCUUGAGGACUGGAGAGGAGACUGGAAUUUACGGUGUAGCAGUGAAAUGCGUAGAUAUCGUAAGGAAGACCAGUGGCGAAGGCGGGUCUCUGGACAGUUCCUGACACUGAGACACGAAGGCCAGGGGAGCAAACGGGAUUAGAUACCCCGGUAGUCCUGGCAGUAAACGGUGCACGUUUGGUGUGGGAGGAUUCGACCCCUUCUGCGCCGGAGCUAACGCGUUAAACGUGCCGCCUGGGGAGUACGGUCGCAAGAUUAAAACUCAAA